AUGGGAGGGACACUCAGAGACGGUUACAGGACCAGUACCAGCACUUGUCAUCACCAAUCAGCUCCAUGGCGUUUUGGCUGCAAAGUACAAGAACAGCAUUUUGAAGGUCACAUACCACCCAGCGGAACUAGGGCUAUCAGCAUACUCAGACAUGUCAAUGGAAGGAAACAAACCAGGAUGCUAACAGAGUCUGGCUGCAUGAAGAAAGGACACAGAUGGCCGCGGGAAUCUCUCUCCUCCCACGCGCUCCAUACCGUGCUGUGCGAUCGCCCCCACUGA
rnacentral:lncRNA from 1 species